AUUGAACGCUGGCGGCAGGCUUAACACAUGCAAGUCGAGCGGGGUGAUGGUGCUUGCACUAUCACUUAGCGGCGGACGGGUGAGUAAUGCUUAGGAAUCAGCCUAUUAGUGGGGGACAGCAUCUCGAAAGGGAUGCUAAUACCGCAUACGUCCUACGGGAGAAAGCAGGGGAUCACUUGUGACCUUGCGCUAAUAGAUGAGCCUAAGUCGGAUUAGCUAGUUGGUGGGGUAAAGGCCUACCAAGGCGACGAUCUGUAGCGGGUCUGAGAGGAUGAGCCGCCACACUGGGACUGAGACACGGCCCAGACUCCUACGGGAGGCAGCAGUGGGGAAUAUUGGACAAUGGGGGGAACCCUGAUCUAGCCAUGCCGCGUGUGUGAAGAAGGCCUUAUGGUUGUAAAGCACUUUAAGCGAGGAGGAGGCUCUUCUGGUUAAUACCCAAGAUGAGUGGACGUUACUCGCAGAAUAAGCACCGGCUAACUCUGUGCCAGCCGCCGCCGUAA
rnacentral:rRNA from 1 species